rnacentral:rRNA from 1 species
UACGGGAGGCAGCAGUAGGGAAUUUUCGGCAAUGGGCGCAAGCCUGACGCAGCAACGCCGCGUGAAGGAUGAAGGUUUUCGGAUUGUAAACUUCUUUUAUCAGGGACGAACUUUGACGGUACCUGAUGAAUAAGCUCCGGCUAACUACGUGCCAGCAGCCGCGGUAAU